CAGCCGCCGCGGUAAUACGAGGGGGGCAAGCGUUGUUCGGAAUUACUGGGCGUAAAGCGCACGUAGGCGGUUACUCAAGUCAGAGGUGAAAGCCCGGGGCUCAACCCCGGAACUGCCUUUGAAACUAGGUGACUAGAAUCUUGGAGAGGUCAGUGGAAUUCCGAGUGUAGAGGUGAAAUUCGUAGAUAUUCGGAAGAACACCAGUGGCGAAGGCGACUGACUGGACAAGUAUUGACGCUGAGGUGCGAAAGCGUGGGGAGCAAACAGGAUUAGAUACCCCUGUAGUCCCUGUCUCUUAUAC
rnacentral:rRNA from 1 species